GUACUUUAUAUGUACUACAAAUAGAUUGAUGUUUACUGUAAAUAUUGUGUGUGUUCAUGCUUGUCAGUUUCCUUAGGCUUUGUAUUUAGUCCAUUGUUUUGGUUUCCCAGAAGCAGCAUGAAAUCACAUUCACAUUCCUCCAAACAGGAAGUGACAAACAGCCAAGUGAACUGAUGAAGUGAAGUGGCCAGCGAGGCUUUUGGCAGAUCUUUGCUCUGUUCUGGGACUUUUGCUUUUGCCACAUUUCAUAGCUUGAAGAUUCUCCCUACACAGCAGUUUUGGUCUUUAUGAAGUAUGGCUUCAGAUGAUUGAUUACAAACAUUUAUUAUAUUCUAUAAAUACAGAUAUCUAAAUAUAUCUAAAGAUGCAUUUCCUUGAGAAACAAAACAAACCUGAAAAACUGAAAUCUGAAACAUGUAUCAAAAUGUAAUUAUUUUUUGAUUAAAACAAGAAAAAAAGAUAUAUCCAUGGUUAUGAUUUUUUUCUGUCCCUAUUAGCAGAUAUGUGUUCUUGUUUUAAGCAAAAAGUUAAAAAUAAAUAAAUAAAUAAAUAAAUGUGUACACAUAUUUUGCAGUAAAUCUGUUUGAGUAGUUACUAGAUGAUCCACUAGAUGGAGACACAAGAGUUCAGUUCAAUCACUAACAUUAACAAACACAUUCAGCAUUGAAAACACUACAGUAAAGCAUCACAUCGUAACAAGAAAACAGUAGUUUAGAUGUGUUGAGUGAUUUAAAAAGUGCAAAUGAAAUGUUUGAGUGUUUUGACUAAAACAUGACAAACCAUAUUGUGGUCUGAGAAAUCCGGACUCCAGGAUCCCGUCGGUUCCUACAGAAAUGGAAAACCUGGAAAAGGCAGGGAAGUUUAAAACUGUGGUUUGCAAGCCUAGAGAAGUCAAGGAAAUGUCUUGAAAAAUCAUGGAAAUUUACUGGUGAAAAUGUGGGAACUUUGAUUCAUGUCUCGUCAGGUCUGUUAUUAUGAUUUCAAGGAAAAUACACCUAGAAACCAUGAACUGCCUCUCAUGACGAUCCAAACCACUGAAGGACUUUCAUUCUUCUGUGAAAGACAAAAGCAGAUCAGAAAGAUAUGUGAGCUUCUGUUGACCAUACAAAAAAGAUCUGUUUUCAGUGUGUUGUGUUAAAAUGUAAUUUAUUAUGUAUUUAAUAUUUUUCAGGAUUCUUUGAUGAAUAUAAAGUUAUUUUGAAACAUUAUAAAUGUAUUUACUUUCACUUUGGAUCAAUAUAAUGUGUC
ensembl:lncRNA